GACGAACGCUGGCGGCGUGCCUAACACAUGCAAGUCGAACGCAGUGGGGACGGGUGAGUAACACGUGGGUAACCUCCCAUCAGAGGGGAUAACACUUGGAAACAGGUGCUAUACGGUAACUGUUGGAUGGCCCCGCGUUGCAUUGGCUAGUUGGUGAGGUAACGGCUCACCAAGGCCACGAUGCAUAGCCGACCUGAGAGGGUGAUCGGCCACACUGGGACUGAGACACGGCCCAGACUCCUACGGGAGGCAGCAGUAGGGAAUCUUCGGCAAUGGACGAAAGUCUGACCGAGCAACGCCGCGUGAGUGAAGAAGGUUUUCGGAUCGUAAAACUCUGUUGUUAGAGAAGCGGUAUCUAACCAGAAAGCCACGGCUAACUACGUGCCAGCAGCCGCGGUAAUAC
rnacentral:rRNA from 1 species